UCUUCUUCUUCUUCUUCUUAUCUUAUCCUCUCUCGCCUGAAAAUUUUCACUGUUAAAUAUUACAAGGAAGAAUUUCCCAAAUGGGUGUCUUUAUCCGCCAUAACCAAUCUUCUGCUGUGGUUCAAUCUCACCAACGCAUGCACAAGUUCUUCAUAAUCUGCAACUACAUUCUACUGAGUGCAGCCUCUAGUUGCAUCUUCCUCACUCUCUCUCUGCGUUUAUUCCCAUCUCUCUGUGGUUUCUUCCUCAUCCUCCUCCACAUACUCACCAUCGUCGGUGCCGUCUCCGGCAGCUACGUCACCACAUCUGGGUCCAGCAGAUGGUAUGCGGCUCACAUGGUGGCUACUUCACUCGCUGCAAUAUUUCAAGGGUCAGUGUCAGUGCUGAUCUUCACGCAGACCGGAGAUUUCUUGGGGUACUUGAAAUCUUAUGUUAGGGAAGAAGAUGGAGCUGUGAUAUUGAAGCUGGCUGGUGGGCUUUGCGCGUUGAUCUUUUGCCUGGAGUGGGUUGUUUUGAGUCUGGCAUUUUUGCUCAGGUACUAUGCCUUUGUGGAAGGAAGUGGCUGUGCAGGUGGUAGUUCUUUAGCCGCCGGUGGAAAAGUUCAAGAAGAGGAGUUGAAGAACUGGCCCUGGCCAUUCCAAGUUUAGCUUCAUUAAUUUCUUCUUGUUGGUCAUGUUUUAUUUAUUUAUUUAUUUAAUUUAUUUCUUGUUAAUUGUUUGUUUUUUCUAUUGUAUCACUUGUCAAUUACAUUCUUGAUUAUUCAAUUCUUAAUUAUUAAUAUAUUUUAUAUUUUUCAGAGAGUGUACUCAAUGAAAAAUAGAUUUUUUG
rnacentral:misc_RNA from 1 species